UUCCCGAAGUCAGCGCGAACGGACUGCACGUACUGUGGCAGCUUAGAAUGCAGUGAAAAUUGCUAGUAAAAACAGGGGACAGCAUGUGCGGGCAACUCCAACCAACCCAUUAACUGCAAAAAGUGCGCGAUCCAUUUGAUUUUUCGAUUUAACUCGCCGCGAGCAACAAAGUUGUGGAUUUUUUCGCACUGAAAAAUUCUCGGCUUACGCCCGUCUAUGUGUGUGAGUGUGUAUCUGCAUCUGUGUAAAGGGCGCAGCUUGGCGAAAAACAACACCCAGCAACGUAAAACUCAACGGGUUUUCUUUGUUUUUUGAGCAACUUGGAGCGCUGAAAAUUCAAUAAGCACGUAAAUUCCAGCACACACACAUACCACCUUAACCGCGCACGCACACCGAUUCAACGCUGCCGAGCUGGACGACAGAGAGAAAGAGAGACAAG